rnacentral:rRNA from 1 species
UAGGGAAUCUUCCACAAUGGACGAAAGUCUGAUGGAGCAACGCCGCGUGAGUGAAGAAGGGUUUCGGCUCGUAAAACUCUGUUGUUAAAGAAGAACAUAUCUGAGAGUAACUGUUCAGGUAUUGACGGUAUUUAACCAGGAAGCCACGGCUAACUACGUGCCAG